AAGUCGCAACAAGGUUUCCGUAGGUGAACCUGCGGAAGGAUCAUUAACAAAUCUUUACACACGAUCUCUAACCCAUGGGUUAGAGACUCGAUACACGAUAACUGUUGACGAACAUUGAGACGAUCAAUAAUAUCAACUUUUAACAAUGGAUCUCUUGGCUCUUGCAGCGAUGAAGAACGCAGCAAACUGCGAAAAGUAAUGUGACCUGCACUCUUUGUGAAACAUCCAAUCUUUGAACGCAACUUGCACCUGACGGCAUUUGUCAUCAGAUAUACUUGUUUGAGUAUCAUUUACACUCUCUCACAUACCGUGGGGAAUUGAGCAUCUCUGAUGAGUUGCUUUAAAUUGAGACCUGUGUGCCUCGGUGAACACUAGGUCUAUUGGGAUAACAUCCUAACAAUAGACUGUUCAAAGAGGUUUGGUUCAUUUUAUAAACUGAUCUCAAAUCAAGUAAGGAUACCCGCUGAAUUUAAGCAUAUUAAUAAGCGGAGGAAAAGAAACUAACAAGGAUUCCCCUAGUAGCGGCGAGCGAAGAGGGAAGAGCUCAAAUUUAAAAUCUGGUACCUUUGGUAUCCGAAUUGUAUUUGAUAGUGCCAUUCUUCGUAAUCGGCUGUGAUCAAAGUCCUUUGGAACAAGGCAACAAAGAGGGUGAUAUUCCCGUCUGGAUCACGGACCGUGAGCGGUAUAAGAAUGGUUCGACGAGUCGGAUUGCUUGGGAAUGCAGUCCAAAAUGGGUGGUACACGCCAUCUAAAGCUAAAUAAUGGCAAGAGACCGAUAGCGAACAAGUACCGUGAGGGAAAGAUGAAAAGAACUUUGAAAAGAGAGUUAAAUAGUACGUGAAAUUGUUAAAAGGGAACCGAUUGAGAUCAGUGAUGUCAGUUGUAUUUCAGCUUGUCAGAAGACGAGUGUAUUGUACAACUGACAAGUCGACUCUUCUUUUGUCACUUGGAAAAGGCCAUGGGAAAUGUGGCACUGCUUGCAGUUGCUUUAUAGUCCCAUGGAGAUACAAGUGAUGGGAAAAGACCACAAGGAUAUCCAAGUCGACGAAAUGGUCUUAAACGACC
rnacentral:rRNA from 1 species